rnacentral:rRNA from 1 species
AGAGUUUGAUCCUGGCUCAGAACGAACGCUGGCGGCAUGCCUAACACAUGCAAGUCGAACGAUGCUUUCGGGCAUAGUGGCGCACGGGUGCGUAACGCGUGGGAAUCUGCCCCUUGGUUCGGAAUAACAGUUAGAAAUGACUGCUAAUACCGGAUGACGACGUAAGUCCAAAGAUUUAUCGCCGAGGGAUGAGCCCGCGUAGGAUUAGCUAGUUGGUGUGGUAAAGGCGCACCAAGGCGACGAUCCUUAGCUGGUCUGAGAGGAUGAUCAGCCACACUGGGACUGAGACACGGCCCAGACUCCUACGGGAGGCAGCAGUGGGGAAUAUUGGACAAUGGGCGCAAGCCUGAUCCAGCAAUGCCGCGUGAGUGAUGAAGGCCUUAGGGUUGUAAAGCUCUUUUACCCGUGAUGAUAAUGACAGUAGCGGGAGAAUAAGCCCCGGCUAACUCCGUGCCAGCAGCCGCGGUAAUACGGAGGGGGCUAGCGUUGUUCGGAAUUACUGGGCGUAAAGCGCACGUAGGCGGCUUUGUAAGUUAGAGGUGAAAGCCUGGAGCUCAACUCCAGAACUGCCUUUAAGACUGCAUCGCUUGAAUCCAGGAGAGGUGAGUGGAAUUCCGAGUGUAGAGGUGAAAUUCGUAGAUAUUCGGAAGAACACCAGUGGCGAAGGCGGCUCACUGGACUGGUAUUGACGCUGAGGUGCGAAAGCGUGGGGAGCAAGCAGGAUUAGAUACCCUGGUAGUCC